rnacentral:piRNA from 1 species
UUGCUGUUUCCACCACAUCUGUAGAGA